CCUACGGGUGGCAGCAGUGAGGAAUAUUGGUCAAUGGACGCAAGUCUGAACCAGCCAUGCCGCGUGCAGGAAGACGGCUCUAUGAGUUGUAAACUGCUUUUGUACGAGGGUAAACGCAGAUACGCGUAUCUGUCUGAAAGUAUCGUACGAAUAAGGAUCGGCUAACUCCGUGCCAGCAGCCGCGGUAAUACGGAGGCUUCAAGCGUUAUCCGGAUUUAUUGGGUUUAAAGGGUGCGUAGGCGGUCGGUUAAGUUAGAGGUGAAAUCCCGAGGCUCAACUUCGGAAUUGCCUUUGAUACUGUUAGGCUAGAGAGUAGUUGCGGUAGGCGGAAUGUAUGGUGUAGCGGUGAAAUGCUUAGAGAUCAUACAGAACACCGAUUGCGAAGGCAGCUUACCAAGCUGCAUCUGACGUUGAGGCACGAAAGCGUGGGGAGCAAACAGGAUUAGAUACCCGUGUAGUC
rnacentral:rRNA from 1 species